rnacentral:rRNA from 1 species
GAUGAACGCUGACAGAAUGCUUAACACAUGCAAGUCAACUUGAACUUCGGUUUGGGUGGCGGACGGGUGAGUAACGCGUACAGAACUUGCCUCACAGAUAGGGACAACAUUUGGAAACGAAUGCUAAUACCUGAUAUUAUGAUUAUAUGGCAUCGUAUAAUUAUGAAAGCUAUAUGCGCUGUGAGAGAGCUUUGCGUCCCAUUAGCUAGUUGGAGAGGUAACGGCUCACCAAGGCGAUGAUGGGUAGCCGGCCUGAGAGGGUGAUCGGCCACAAGGGGACUGAGACACGGACCUUACUCCUACGGGAAGCAGCAGUGGGGAAUAUUGGACAAUGGACCAAGAGUCUGAUCCAGCAAUUCUGUGUGCACGAUGAAGUUUUUCGGAAUGUAAAGUGCUUUCAGUUAGGAAGAAAAAAAUGACGGUACCAACAGAAGAAGUGACGGCUAAAUACGUG